UAUGUGAUCGUCUCUCGCAUAUCAAUAAGCGGAGGAAAAGAAACUAACAAGGAUUCCCCUAGUAACGGCGAGUGAAGCGGGAAGAGCUCAAAUUUGAAAUCUUAAAGGGUUUCCCUUUACGAAUUGUAGUUUAAAGAAGUGUUUUCUGUUGAGGUUUUGGUAAAAGUUCUUUGGAAUAGGACAUCAUAGAGGGUGAGAAUCCCGUAUUUGACCUUUACUUUCAACUUUGUGAUACACUUUCAAAGAGUCGGAUUGUUUGGGAAUGCAGUCCAAAAUGGGUGGUAAAUUUCAUCUAAAGCUAAAUAUUGGCGAGAGACCGAUAGCGAACAAGUACCGUGAGGGAAAGAUGAAAAGAACUUUGAAAAGAGAGUUAAACAGUACGUGAAAUUGUCAAAAGGGAAGCGUUUGACACCAGUGUUGUUUUUCUGAAAAUCAAUUAAAGAACUGUUUAUGCUAAGCUGUUUAGACUUUAUCAGCUAACUGUUUAGUUUUGAGCUUUUCUUUAAUGCACUUUUCAGUUAACAAGUCAACAUCAAUUUCUUUUGCUGUAAAAAAGCUUGAGGAAGGUGGCUUGAGAUUCGUCUUAAGUGUUUAUAGCCUCUUGCCUAUGCAGUCGGAGAGAUUGAGGUCUGCAGCGUAGAUCCUUCGGGGCUAAAUGCAUUUGUGCUAAGUUAUAGCAUUUUAUAGACAACUUGUUGACUAUGAUUUGUCUUGUAGCUUACUCGCUUAUGUUAUUUUACCUACGCUUAGGAUGUUGAAGACUCUACAGAGAU
rnacentral:rRNA from 1 species